rnacentral:rRNA from 1 species
AAGACCUUGCGCUUUUGGAGCGGCCGAUGCCUGAUUAGCUUGUUGGUAAGGUAAAAGCUUACCAAGGCUUCGAUCAGUGGCUGGUCUGAGAGGACGGCCAGCCACACUGGGACUGAGACACGGCCCAGACUCCUACGGGAGGCAGCAGUGGGGAAUUUUGGACAAUGGGGGCAACCCUGAUCCAGCCAUGCCGCGUGAGUGAAGAAGGCCUUCGGGUUGUAAAGCUCUUUCAGCCGGAACGAAACGGUUACGGUUAAUACCCGUGACUACUGACGGUACCGGAAGAAGAAGCACCGGCUAACUACGUGCCAGCAGCCGCGGUAAUACGUAGGGUGCGAGCGUUAAUCGGAAUUACUGGGCGUAAAGCGUGCGCAGGUGGUUUUGUAAGUCAGAUGUGAAAGCCCCGGGCUCAACCUGGGAACU